rnacentral:tRNA from 1 species
GCGCGGCGUGCAGCUCGGCGUCGUGCAUCGGUUCUGACGAGACCGACGCGCCGGGCCGCGUGCGCCCGGCGCUUUCCGCGGGCGCCGCCGCGCU